rnacentral:piRNA from 1 species
UGUAUACACAAGGAAAGCUGCCCACU